rnacentral:lncRNA from 1 species
GUCCCUUGGAAUGAUGACAGGGUGCCUUUUCUUGCCUUCACCUUAGGGGCACUGGGAAAGACUGCUCUGCUCCAGUAUCUCCCUCACCACCUUGAAGGCCCUCAUCAGCAGCUAGGGUCUUUGGUUCUUCAAAGCUUCUCAGCAUUCAGCAGUAACACCUGUGUAUCUACUCACCAACAGCUUUAACCUCCACUAGGUCACUGGUUCUCACAACCCCAUGAGGUAGGACGGGCAGGAAUCACGAUCCCCAUUUGGAAAAUAAGGAACCUGAAACUCAUAGAAUUAGGUCCCUUGACCGAACUCACACCACUGGCCAGUGGCAGAAUCAAAACCAGAACUCGGAUCUCCUCACAUAGCGAGCUCCAGAGUCCACGCUCCAAAGUCCCUCCUGCGGCUCUUCUGAGAAAGGGGGAGAAGCUGGGGGCAGGGACGCUGUCCUCAUCCCUCACCUGCCCCUCUUGGGAGGUUCUCAGACGGCCCCAUUGAGGACAGGAUGAGUCCGCAUGCGAUAGAUGAUGACCGCAGUGGCCGGGCACAGCAACAAGGAGGUCAUGAUGACAAUGGUGGCCAGGAUGAUGAGGACAAUGACCCAGAUGUCGAGGAUGUGCUUGGGGAGCACGACUUCCAUGGGGACCUGGCUGACGGCAUCCAUGCUGCUUCACUCUGCAACAGACGGGAAAGAGGAAUUCACCGUUUUGUACCCCAGGAGUCAGAAGAUAUAUUACUUGUGAUUUCUGAUGAAUACGUCAAGUUGGAAUAUGGCACAAGCCAUUCAUGUCACAAAUUUAACCUUAUCAUUGAUAAAAAUAUAAUGUUUUUAUGACCGUGGAAGGUAAAACAGCAGUCAGGCCUAAAUUCUUGUUACUUCAAACUGGUAUACUUUAUCUAUUUACCUCGUUAAUAAAUAAUAAACUUUAACAUAUGUUCGAUAUGUUUGUCUAAGAAACUAUGUUAAAGUCACCCUGAGCUGACAAACAAAGGAGCCACUAGCUCCAUCAGCCACUGACACCAUCUAGGCCCUACACCACCUGCCCUGUGACCUGGAGACAUCAUGGUUCCACUUUAGACCACAAGUUUAAGCAAUGGAAAAGUUAAGAAUCCCAAAAUGACUAUUUUGUAUCCAUUAAUAAGACUAAGUGUAAGGGGGAAAAAAAAGAAAAGAAAAGAAAAAAAUAGUAGUUCCUCCAAAGGAGGAAAACAUUGUACCUUCUCCAAAAGUGGGCAAUUCAUCCCAUCUAUCAAGUAGUGUGUUUGGUCCAGUCUAGGAAGGAAA